UAUUCCACAUUUUCUGAUAAUGAGGCAAAAAUACUGGGGAAAAAAAGUUUCAUGAGAGAUAGGGGAGUGUUUUGAAGGCUUGUAAGAAAAAAAAAACACUCUCAUUUCCAAGACAAGUCUUGCUAUGAAGUCUCAGGAAUCAGUUUGGCAAUAAGAAGAAAACUUUCAGCUGAAGGAUGUCUAGAUGAAAAAAGCAAGAUACACAAUCCCAUUUUAGAGCUGGGCACUGGGUUAUCCCAUGUGCAGUACCUAUCCUUCAGCAUCUAUGUAUCUACAACUUUUUCACAGGUGAGAGUGGAAACUUCCCCAGUCUUUGAGGACUAGGAACUCAUCUAUAAUGCAGGUCAAGUGAGAUGUGACAGGCACCAUCCAGGGUUAAAGAGUAUGACAGAAGUAACCAGGUGAGAACUUUCUUAUAAACUUAAAAUUAAUAUAUAUAUUAUAUAUUUCCCUAGAAGGAAGAUGUUUUCUUUAUUAAUCUGUUCAUCUCUGACACGGGUGCACUGAUUUCAUUGCAUGUCAGAGGCUAUCUGAUUUAAAAGAUGCAGAUA
rnacentral:lncRNA from 1 species